GAUGAACGCUGGCGGCGUGCCUAAUACAUGCAAGUCGAGCGAACGGACGAGAAGCUUGCUUCUCUGAUGUUAGCGGCGGACGGGUGAGUAACACGUGGAUAACCUACCUAUAAGACUGGAUAACUUCGGGAAGCCGGAGCUAAUACCGGAUAAUAUUUUGAACCGCAUGGUUCAAAAGUGAAAGACGGUCUUGCUGUCACUUAUAGAUGGAUCCGCGCUGCAUUAGCUAGUUGGUAAGGUAACGGCUUACCAAGGCAACGAUGCAUAGCCGACCUGAGAGGGUGAUCGGCCACACUGGAACUGAGACACGGUCCAGACUCCUACGGGAGGCAGCAGUAGGGAAUCUUCCGCAAUGGGCGAAAGCCUGACGGAGCAACGCCGCGUGAGUGAUGAAGGUCUUCGGAUCGUAAAACUCUGUUAUUAGGGAAGAACAUAUGUGUAAGUAACUGUGCACAUCUUGACGGUACCUAAUCAGAAAGCCACGGCUAACUACGUG
rnacentral:rRNA from 1 species